GUGCUUCGGUGUCUUCUCGGUGGAGCUGUCCCACUCCAUCUGGAAAUGUUCUCUCCCAUCUUCGCCCUCCCAGUCCCUCAUGUGAUGGAGCUCCUGUUUCUCACACAGAGGACAAUGAGUGACAGCCUUCCCUGCUGCAGGGAGCAAUGAAAACUCGCAGCCCCGGGCCAGAGUCCACUGGUUGCCACCAUCUGCCUUUGGGAGGGAUUUUCCAUCGUGGGCACAGCGUUGCAAGAGGAUCCAGGAACUGUUUGUCACUGGGAGGCGUUGAUGCUGGCAACGAUGCAGAGCUUGCCAGGUCCAGGAUGGUGUCUUACUCACUUCCAUCCCUGGAAAUGUCCCCGGUGCCAGCACGGGGCCGGAGCAUGGAAGGAGCCUAGUCAACGAUGCCUGUAAAUGUAUUGAUGUCAGAAGGCUGGUGAAGACGCACGGAAGGACAGCUCCGGGUUUUGCAUAAGGCACCUCAAAUGUGCAAAAAUAAAUGGGGGAGCCAGUGAAGCUGAACGCUGAGCUGGGGAUUUCAGAGCCCUCACUGAGGUUCUCUAACACCAGUUUCUGCAAAGGACACCCCUGUCCUCACCUAACAUGUCCUGCGGCUUCCCAUCUUCUCCCCCUGGGUCCUUCCCAACCUCCCCCAGCCUAUCUCCCUUUCUCAUGGAUUCUCUGACUCUGCCAGGGUGAAAAUGGCUGCAAGGAACUUUCACUUCUGCUCAAACAAGAAACCCAAGAGCAAGGUCAUUUCCUUGUUCUUUUCUGAGUGGCUGCUGGAUCCAUUUUUUUUUGACUUGUCUGUUGGGGGUGGACAGAAAGGUAAAGUUUCUUUUUCCUCAGAUCAUAUGAAAGCCAGUUUACCUGAACUGCCUUCUCUGCAACCUUCUCACAUCCCCUUUCACUCUAACUUUGAAUAUAUGAGUCAGAGUCUAAGGGGAAUGGAUUUUUUCUGUAGAAAGGUGGAGUCCCUGCUUCCCACUGUCUUCUCUGUAUCCUCAGAUUCAAAUGUAUAAGGGCUGUUCAAAACCCACUAAUUUAAGCCCCAAAGAUUUACACACACA